UUAAAGAACAAGAGCUCAGUCUCUUCACUGGAAGCCGAUUCCUGCAUCAUGGUAGCGGAGCAUGAGUUAGACGUUCAGGAGUCCAAAGGGACUGCUUCUUGAAAGGGAUUGAAACUGCAAUCAUAUAAUUUGUAAAAUAAUUAAUCGAAUAUACAUUGAAUGUGGGUGGGGGGAAUAUUCAAGUACCCCAUCUACUUGUAUACGUGCUGGGCAUAGCAUUGAGAUUAUCUUAACAGUGUAAAAUGAAUCGAAUACUUGCUAUUCACAAUAAUAAAAACAAUUCCGCAAAAUAUCAUAUGGUUUUGUGUUAUUUGCAGUGAGCAGAUUCUGCAUUCAAACAGAAACAGUCACCAACAUUCAGGAACAGAAGCAAUGAGAUUGAUCAUCAAGUGCCCUGUGAUUCAACGGUUAAUGACAGUUAAAAUUUAAGACAUAGACAAGUAAAAAUCAAGGCAUGAUCAGCAAAUGGGCAUUUAACUUUAUUAAGAUAAGCAGUAAAUUCGUGUUGAAUGGCAAACAGCAGGUUCCAUACAAUAUCCCCACUCUCACAAAAUCAAGAAUAUAAAGCAAUCUUUACCGUAGAUUAUAAGAAUUUUCACAAUUACAACGUUCAGUGCUUAAGGAGAGCCAGCACAGUGAAAAUGAGAGCUUUUGUGACAGCUUGCUAGAUGCAAUGGCCACCACAACUCUUGAACGUUAACUUAAACUAAAGCAAGCGAAUCAAUUAACUCUCACGCCUCUUUUUUAUUUUUAUUUUUUUCCAUUUCUCUCAUCUCCCCCCCGUUUCUUUCAACCAAGCAUCCCUUACUUUAUUUAUUUAAAGAAAAAUAAUGGGUUGGCUUUUCAGCAACUAAUUAUAAUGUCGGGUUAGUUGAUUCGUUACAACUGUGAUGACAGAAGGGACAAAGAAUCUAAACAAAAAUUCAUAUAGGAUUUUUUAUUUUAUGUUAAUGGCUGUAAUGAAUAUGAUCCCUUGGGUUGAAUCAAAAUCGUACAUGUCUAAUAUUAUUUUAUAGUUUAUUAAAGAAGGCAAACAAAAAUUUCAAAAAAAUUUAUAUUAUUUUAUAAUUUAUUAAAAAAGUGAGGAGUUGUAUAAAGGUCAGAUUUAUUUUUAGCCCCCCCUUAUCUCUCUUAAAAUUUAAACUUUAGUAACCAAUCAAAUAAAGAUAUUUGAAAACCACUCAAUUACACUUUUAAAGAAAAAAAUUUAUUUGGUUGAUAGCUAGAAAUUAUUUAUAUACCUACAUGCAAAUCUAUACUAAAUCUUGUGUCUAAAGGUCUUGCAAAGCUACAAAAUUAUUGCUCUGUUUUUCUUACUCCGCGUAUACUUCAACUAAUUGCGACAGUAUUCAUGUGCAUAUGACAAAUAUUGAGUGGACAAGAACCAAUAUUUUAGAAAUACCAAAGACUCUCCUCUUAUACACCUCUAAUUCUUAAUUCUUGGCUAUUACUUCUGUUUUGGAUCUUGCGGAAAAAUCAUAAAUCCAUCAAAUUCAAUUAACUUUUGCUGUACUAAUUUUUUUCACACUUCCCAGCUUAUUUUGUAAGAUGAAUCACAUCAUCGAAAUUUCUCUUGAAUUUCGGAGCAUCAAAAUGUAUUAUUCAAGAAGCGGAAAUGCUAAGCGUUUAAGCGAAGUAAAUGGCAAUGCGCGUGGAGCCCACGCUCCACCGUAACAGCCAAUGUGGCUGUGCUCUGUUUUGCUGCCCCGUCCCCUCGAGUCUUUGACCAGCUUAACGCAGCACAUAUAUGAAUACAUAUGACCAUGAUAUCUAUAGACGGCACCGUUUAAGAGGGGGACACGUUUCCACACUUCAGUCGGACCUACUACGAUGCUAUAUCAGUUAAGUCGGUUGGCUCCUUAGAAGUUUAAAGAAGAUCGAAUGACGCUGAGUUGUUCAAACACGACGUUCCCAUGAUUAUUACAAAGCGCAUGCGGAUUUGCAAUUUUUUUUUUUUAUAUGUAUAUGUUAUUCAUAAUAAAAAAUUUGUUGAAAUUAUAUCAAAUUUAUUAUAAUAUAACUCAAAUUUUUACUUUCAUAAAUAUUGGAAGAUGUCUAUUUUACUUAUUAAAAAAAAAAAUCAACGAUUCAAAAGGUAAUAACUCACCACUCACCCAAAGACUGAGCUGCAGGAAUUGUAAAGUUCAUCUUUAAGUAAAUACUAUAUUACAUUUCAUGUAACAUAUACAACCCAACCACACAAUUAUGUGGGUCCUAUAUCUUUAAUGUGCAGUUCGCUAUUUCUAGGUCGGUUGUAGACUUCAUUGUCAAAUAUAAUAUAUUAAACGACAUCUGUUAUAUAAAGCUUAUGAAUUGGAAAAAUACUCAUUAGUCAUUCAUUAUUUAUUUCUCUACGUUUGGUUAGUGAUAUUAACUAACAUAAUAUCAAUGAAUCAUUUUGAUAAUCUUUGUGUUUUCAAAAAAUUCUUCAAAUUAAAAAUUGAAUUCUCAUUUGAAAAAUUGGAUCAACAAUAAGAAUUUUUAAAAUUCCCUUCAAAUAAAGAUUAUCCUUCUCUCUUAUUAAUAUUGAAAAGUGAUUGUUUUCUUUUCAAAUAAUACUAUAUUUUUUUAUAGUAUCACUAUUGCAAAGAUAGAAAUAAUAUAAUUAUAUUAUUUUAAAAAAAUAUAUAAUUUAGUGAGAGGAAUUUGAUUAAAAUAACAUAAAUUUAUUUUUAUUUGAAGAGUCUUUAAGAGUAUAUUUUUUCACGCUUCUAUUUAUCAUAUAUUUAAGUAAAUAAGUAUCUAAAAAGUAAUAUUAGAUGAGUUUUUUAGAGAUACUCUUAUUUUAUAGUAUUAUUUGGACAAGUGUAAUCUUAUUGUAAUUUUAAAUUUCGAUUGUUCAUCUUCAAUACUAAAUCAAGCCUUAACUUGUUCCCAUUGGAAAUUAACAUACUACUUAUAAGCAUAUAUAUUAAAUAAUAAUAAUAAUAAUAAUAAUAAUAAUAAUAAUAAUAAUAAUAAUAAUAAUAAUAAAUAAAUAAAUAAAUAAAUAAAUAAAAACUACAAGCGAUUGAACUCAAAAGAAAAAUCAAAUGAAUACUGAAAGAAUUAAGUAUUAUUAUGUCAUUAAUAGUACGAAAUAUUAAUCAAACAAAUAAAUAAUUCAAUACAUUAAUCUCCAAUCAUCCUCGAAAAUAAUAUCUUAGUAAUAAUUAUGAUUUUCUUCCGUUACCAAAAGACUUAGGUAGCGUUUGUUUUUUUGUCUGAAAGCUAAAUGAGUUUGAAUUUUUCUAAAGUCUGAAUGGGUUUGAAUAAGAAAAUUUGAAUGACAUGUUUGUUUUUCUUUUUUUAAUAUCUUAAUAUAAGUGGCAUCUUGUUUGUUUUUACAAUAAAAAACAUCUUAAACUUAGUUGUUUUCCAUUUAUGUUCUUGAAAAUUAAAACAAAAAAAGAGAAUUACAUUUUAUAAUUUAGGAAAUAAGUUAUUUUACAGAAAUAUUUUUGAAAUAUAAUAUUUACUUGUCAUUAAGAUAUUUUCUCAUUCAGAUAAAAAUCACAAAAAUUUACUUUUUCUAUUCAGAUGUAAAUGUCUGAAAAUCAGAUAUAAGUUCUAAAAAACAAACAAGUAAAUUUUAGAAAAUGUAUGAAAUUAAUAAAAUUUCAUAUUUUAGACAUUUAAUAAACCUCUUAGUGCUUCAGGAGAGCAAGAAGAGAAACAAAGAGUGAAGAUGCAAUAACAGCACCGGAAACCGGCAGAGAGGAGGCUGCUCCGGUGUCCGAUGAAGGAGCCGGUGCCGGCGCCAUCUCGGUGCUUUGAGCUGAAGCUGCAGCCAUUGCAAGAGCUGCCAAAACGAACAUCAUCAUAACGGACUUUAAGCUGCUAAUUUGCGCCAUCUAUAUUGAUAUUAAUUGCUGAAGAAAAACAAGAAGCAAGAACUAUAUAUGAAAAUAAAGAAUUGAUUCAGUAAGCAAGUUAUGGGCAAUGGCUCCGUUAAAUGUUAGGUGGUGCUUAUAAUUAUAUAGUGAGGUGUAUGCGCGGCUUGUGGAGCACGCUUUGAUCUGUGUGACAGCAAACGUGUUGUGUUUGGUUUGGUUUUCGCCGCAAAGCGUAUCUUGACAGACUCAGAUUGGUUGGAACUAAAAACAUGGGACCGAGUGGGAUCUGGAACACGUUGGCACGUGGUAGUUGG
rnacentral:lncRNA from 1 species